rnacentral:rRNA from 1 species
GAUGAACGCUAGCGAUAGGCUUAACACAUGCAAGUCGAGGGGCAGCAUGGUCUUAGCUUGCUAAGCCUGAUGGCGACCGGCGCACGGGUGCGUAACGCGUAUGCAACUUGCCUCACAGAGGGGGAUAACCCGUCGAAAGACGGACUAAUACCGCGUACACUUGGGAUAGGGCAUCCUGACCCAAGGAAAUGAAAUUCGCUGUGAGAUAGGCAUGCGUCCCAUUAGCUAGUUGGUGAGGUAACGGCUCACCAAGGCGACGAUGGGUAGGGGAACUGAGAGGUUGAACCCCCACACUGGUACUGAGACACGGACCAGACUCCUACGGGAGGCAGCAGUGAGGAAUAUUGGUCAAUGGGCGAGAGCCUGAACCAGCCAAGUCGCGUGAAGGAUGACUGUCUUAUGGAUUGUAAACUUCUUUUAUACGGGAAUAACAAGAGCCACGUGUGGCUCCCUGCAUGUACCGUAUGAAUAAGCAUCGGCUAACUCCGUG